GCCUACGGGGGGCAGCAGUAGGGAAUCUUCCACAAUGGGCGCAAGCCUGAUGGAGCAACACCGCGUGAGUGAAGAAGGGUUUCGGCUCGUAAAGCUCUGUUGUUGGAGAAGAAUGUGCGCGAGAGUAACUGUUCACGCAGUGACGGUAUCUAACCAGAAAGCCACGGCUAACUACGUGCCAGCAGCCGCGGUAAUGCGUAGGGGGCAAGCGUUAUCCGGAUUUUUUGGGCGUAAAGGGAACGCAGGCGGGCUUUUAAGUCUGUUGUGAAAGCCUUCGGCUUAAAC
rnacentral:rRNA from 1 species